GAUGAACGCUAGCGGCAGGCUUAACACAUGCAAGUCGAGGGGCAGCAUAGACAUUGCUUGCAAUGUUUGAUGGCGACCGGCGCACGGGUGCGUAACGCGUAUGCAACCUACCUGUAACAGGGGGAUAACACUGAGAAAUUGGUACUAAUACCCCGUAACAUCAUUAAGGGCAUCCUUUUUGGCUGAAAGUUCCGGCGGUUACAGAUGGGCAUGCGUUGUAUUAGCUUGUUGGCGGGGUAACGGCCCACCAAGGCUACGAUCGUUAGGGGUUCUGAGAGGAAGGUCCCCCACACUGGAACUGAAACACGGUCCAG
rnacentral:rRNA from 1 species